GUUGAACGCUGGCGGCAGGCCUAACACAUGCAAGUCGAACGAGUGGCGGACGGGUGAGUAAUGUCUGGAAAACUGCCUGAUGGAGGGGGAUAACUACUGGAAACGGAAGCUAAUACCGCAUACCAUCAGAUGUGCCCAGAUUGGAUUAGCUAGUUGGUGGGGUAACGGCUCACCAGGGCACCGAUCGCUAUUUGGUCUGAGAGGAUGACCAGCCACACUGGAACUGAGAAACGGUCCAGACUCCUACGGGAGGCAGAAGUGGGGAAUCUUGCCCAAUGGGCGAAAGCCUGAGGCAGCCAGGCGGCGGGUAUGAUGAAGGCCUUCGGGUUGUAAAGGACUUUCAGUGGGGAGGCGUUACCCGAAGAGGAAGCCACGGCUAACUCCGUGCCAGCAGCCGCGGUAAUAC
rnacentral:rRNA from 1 species